rnacentral:rRNA from 1 species
CCCCUUUCGACCCGGAAGAAAGCCCGCAAGGGUUUGACGGUACGGGUAUAAGAAGCCCCGGCUAACUACGUGCCAGCAGCCGGGGUAAUACGUAGGGGGCCAGCGUUGGUCGGAAUUACUGGGCGUAAAGGGUCU